rnacentral:rRNA from 1 species
AGUCGAGCGAGCUUGCCUAGAUGAAUUUGGUGCUUGCACCAAAUGAAACUAGAUACAAGCGAGCGGCGGACGGGUGAGUAACACGUGGGUAACCUGCCCAAGAGACUGGGAUAACACCUGGAAACAGAUGCUAAUACCGGAUAACAACACUAGACGCAUGUCUAGAGUUUAAAAGAUGGUUCUGCUAUCACUCUUGGAUGGACCUGCGGUGCAUUAGCUAGUUGGUAAGGUAACGGCUUACCAAGGCAAUGAUGCAUAGCCGAGUUGAGAGACUGAUCGGCCACAUUGGGACUGAGACACGGCCCAAACUCCUACGGGAGGCAGCAGUAGGGAAUCUUCCACAAUGGACGCAAGUCUGAUGGAGCAACGCCGCGUGAGUGAAGAAGGGUUUCGGCUCGUAAAGCUCUGUUGGUAGUGAAGAAAGAUAGAGGUAGUAACUGGCCUUUAUUUGACGGUAAUUACUUAGAAAGUCACGGCUAACUACGUGCCAGCAGCCGCGGUAAUACGUAGGUGGCAAGCGUUGUCCGGAUUUAUUGGGCGUAAAGCGAGUGCAGGCGGUUCAAUAAGUCUGAUGUGAAAGCCUUCGGCUCAACCGGAGAAUUGCAUCAGAAACUGUUGAACUUGAGUGCAGAAGAGGAGAGUGGAACUCCAUGUGUAGCGGUGGAAUGCGUAGAUAUAUGGAAGAACACCAGUGGCGAAGGCGGCUCUCUGGUCUGCAACUGACGCUGAGGCUCGAAAGCAUGGGUAGCGAACAGGAUUAGAUACGCUGGUAGUCCAUGCCGUAAACGAUGAGUGCU